rnacentral:rRNA from 1 species
UAAUAGCGUAUAUUAAAGUUGUUGCAGUUAAAAAGCUCGUAGUUGGAUUUGUGGCGUACGGUGGGUUCCGGGCACUUGUUGUCUGAGUAACUUGCUGUUGCCAUCCUUGGGUGGAACCUGUGUGGCAUUAGGUUGUCGUGCAGGGGAUGCCCAUCAUUUACUGUGAAAAAAUUAGAGUGUUCAAAGCAGGCUUAUGCCGUUGAAUAUAUUAGCAUGGAAUAAUGAGAUAGGACUUUUUUGCUAUUUUGUUGGUUUGCGCAAAGAGGUAAUGAUUAAUAGGGACAGUUGGGGGUAUUCGUAUUCCAUUGUCAGAGGUGAAAUUCUUGGAUUUUUGGAAGACGAACUACUGCGAAAGCAUUUACCAAGGAUGUUUUCAUUAA